UACAGAGGGUGCGAGCGUUAAUCGGAAUUACUGGGCGUAAAGCGCACGUAGGCGGCUUGGUAUGUCGGGUGUGAAAUCCCCGAGCUUAACUUGGGAAUUGCGCUCGAAACUACGUGGCUCGAGUGUGGCAGAGGAAGGUGGAAUUCCACGUGUAGCGGUGAAAUGCGUAGAGAUGUGGAGGAACACCGAUGGCGAAGGCAGCCUUCUGGGCCAACACUGACGCUCAUGCACGAAAGCGUGGGGAGCAAACAGG
rnacentral:rRNA from 1 species